rnacentral:rRNA from 1 species
GCCUUGUACACACCGCCCGUCAAGUCAUGAAAGUCGGUAACACCCGAAGCCAGUGGCCGAACCCGCAAGGGACGGAGCUGUCGAAGGUGGGAUCGGUGAUUAGGACUAAGUCGUAACAAGGUAGCCGUACCGGAAGGUGCGGCUGGAUCACCUCCUUU